UACGAAGGGUGCAAGCGUUGUUCGGAAUUAUUGGGCGUAAAGGGUUCGUAGGCGGGAUGCCAAGUCAGAUGUGAAAUCCCUGAGCUUAACUUGGGACGUGCAUUUGAAACUGGUAUUCUUGAGUACUGAAGAGGGUGGUGGAAUUGCUGGUGUAGGAGUGACAUCCGUAGAUAUCAGCAGGAACACCGGAGGCGAAAGCGGCCACCUGGUCGAGUACUGACGCUGAGGAACGAAAGCGUGGGGAGCAAACAGGAUUAGAUACCCUGGUAGUCCACGCCGUAAACGAUGAUAACUAGAUGUUGGUGGGAUUGACCCCAUCAGUAUCGUAGCACACGCGCUAAGUUAUCCGCCUGGGGAGUACGGCCGCAAGGCUAAA
rnacentral:rRNA from 1 species